rnacentral:rRNA from 1 species
AUUGAACGCUGGCGGCAUGCCUUACACAUGCAAGUCGAACGGCAGCACGGGAGCAAUCCUGGUGGCGAGUGGCGAACGGGUGAGUAAUAUAUCGGAACGUGCCCAGUCGUGGGGAUAACGUAGCGAAAGCUACGCUAAUACCGCAUACGAUCUAUGGAUGAAAGCGGGGGAUCGCAAGACCUCGCGCGAUUGGAGCGGCCGAUAUCAGAUUAGGUAGUUGGUGAGGUAAAGGCUCGCCAAGCCGACGAUCUGUAGCUGGUCUGAGAGGACGACCAGCCACACUGGGACUGAGACACGGCCCAGACUCCUACGGGAGGCAGCAGUGGGGAAUUUUGGACAAUGGGCGCAAGCCUGAUCCAGCAAUGCCGCGUGCAGGAUGAAGGCC